rnacentral:rRNA from 1 species
GUGGGGAAUAUUGGACAAUGGGCGCAAGCCUGAUCCAGCCAUGCCGCGUGAGUGAUGAAGGCCUUAGGGUUGUAAAGCUCUUUCAGUAGGGAAGAUAAUGACGGUACCUACAGAAGAAGCCCCGGCUAACUUCGUGCCAGCAGCCGCGGUAAUACGAAGGGGGCUAGCGUUGUUCGGAUUUACUGGGCGUAAAGCGCACGUAGGCGGAAUGUUAAGUCAGAGGUGAAAUCCUGGAGCUCAACUCCAGAACUGCCUUUGAUACUGGCAAUCUCGAGUCCGGAAGAGGUGAGUGGAACUCCUAGUGUAGAGGUGGAAUUCGUAGAUAUUAGGAAGAACACCAGUGGCGAAGGCGGCUCACUGGUCCGGUACUGACGCUGAGGUGCGAAAGCGUGGGGAGCAAACAGGAUUAGAUACCCCAGUAGUCC